UACGGAGGGGGCAAGCGUUGUCCGGAUUUAUUGGGCGUAAAGAGCUCGUAGGUGGUUCGGUAAGUCGGAUGUGAAAUCUCCAGGCUCAACCUGGAGGGGUCAUUCGAUACUGCCGUGACUAGAGGUCGGUAGGGGAGUGUGGAAUUCCGGGUGUAGCGGUGGAAUGCGUAGAGAUCCGGAAGAACACCGGUGGCGAAGGCGGCCUGCUGGGCAGUUGCUGACGCUGAGGCGCGACAGCGUGGGGAGCAACAGGAUUGAGAAACCC
rnacentral:rRNA from 1 species